rnacentral:rRNA from 1 species
AGUCGAGCGGUACGCGGGAGCAAUCCUGGCGACGAGCGGCGAACGGGUGAGUAAUGCUUCGGAAUCUACCCACGGGUGGGGAAUAACCAAUCGAAAGGUUGGCUAAUACCGCAUACGUCCUACGGGGGAAAGCGGGGGAUCGUAAGACCUCGCGCCGGUGGAUGAGCCGAAGUCGGAUUAGCUAGUUGGUAGGGUAACGGCCUACCAAGGCGACGAUCCGUAGCUGGUCUGAGAGGACGACCUGCCACACUGGGACUGAGACACGGCCCAGACUCCUACGGGAGGCAGCAGUGGGGAAUAUUGGACAAUGGGGGAAACCCUGAUCCAGCGACGCCGCGUGUGUGAAGAAGGCCUGCGGGUUGUAAAGCACUUUUAGUGGGGAUGAAAAGCCUGGCGUUAACACCGUCGGGUCUUGACCUAACCUACAGAAAAAGCACCGGCUAACUCUGUGCCAGCAGCCGCGGUAAUACAGAGGGUGCGAGCGUUAAUCGGAAUUACUGGGCGUAAAGCGUGCGUAGACGGUCAUGCAAGUCGGAUGUGAAAGCCCCGGGCUCAACCUGGGAAUUGCAUUCGAGACUGUAUGGCUAGGGUGCGGAAGAGGGAAGCGGAAUUUCCGGUGUAGCGGUGAAAU